GCUAGCCGUAAACCCAAGCAAAUACUUACUGAUUUGCUCGCCAGAAAAUUACACGCGAAAGCACAAAAUUCAAAGGACUUGACGGUGUUCUAUAUCAACCUAGAGGAGCCUGUCCUAUAAUCGAUAAUACACGAUAAACCUUACCCAUUCUUGCCACAACAGCCUAUAUACCGCCGUCGUCAGCCCAUCUAAUGAUAGAACAAACAUGAGCAAAACUGUCUACCCACCAAAACGUCAGGUCAAGGUGUAGCUAAUGAAUGGGCUGAGAUGGGCUACAUUUUUUAAAUUAAAAAAUACAGCAAGUAACAUGAAACACGAACUAUAAAGGUGGAUUUAGCAGUAAACUUAGUAAGACACACUAUGUUGAAAUCAGCUCUGGAACGCGUACAC
rnacentral:rRNA from 1 species